GCUAACUUUAAAACAGGUAUCUCUCUUUUCCUAUUUCCUUGUGACAGGAAGAGAGCUUGGAUCCUUCUUGCCCCAAGGCCGCCAUUUUCCCAUCUUUCCCACCUCAGUUCACAAUAGCCUUAGCCAGGCGCUCACUCCAACAACCUCAGUGGUAUCCUGGACUCUUCUUUCUCACAGCCUCUUGUCUCUGCCUCCAAGACAGGCCCCAGUCUUCCCAGUUGAUCCCAUCUCUUCGGACAUUCCUGAGUCAGUGCCAUGUUUUGACAAGACGACCACCUCAGAUUCUGUCCUUGGACACUGGCUAGUCAUUACAAUUUAGAGCUCACCCUGGGUUAAGUGGACAAUUUCCUGGAAAACAGCUGGUUGAACUUCCUGAGUAUCUCUGCAGUAAACAUCUCUGGAGAAAGGCUCCCUUUGGCAUCUUCCUGCUCAGCGUGUUUUUUGCAGUACACAUUCCUGGUGUGAGCUCCACAUCCUAAUACAGCCAAUGCGCACCUGAUGGGUUGGCCUUUUCUCUUGAAAAGGGAACCAGUGCUGUGUAGCUGGUACCGAAAAAGGUUUAAUGGAUGGAUCUUGAGCAAUGAUGGGGAAGGGAGAAUUAGGGAAGAUUUGGGAGUGAUGGGGCAAGAAGGAGUGACUAAGAACUAAGGCAAGCUAACAUAUCUAGGGAGCAAGAAGUCUUCUCAAGAAUUUUCUGCUGAAGAGAAAUAAGCAGGCACAGAUAGAAGGAUACCACAUGUUCACCUCCACAGUGAAAGCUGAAUAAGUUGAUCUCAGACGCAGAGAGAGUAGUGGUCGCCAGAGGCUGGGACGGGGUGGCGGGGGACAAAGAUGGGUUGGUUAUUAGGUCAGAGCUGCAGUUAGACGGCAGGAGAAUGCCCCAGUGUUCCGCAGCGCAGGAGGGUGACUACCUCACAGUAAUUUAUUGUACAUUUCAAAAUAGCCAGAAGAAAGGAUUUUGGACUUUCCCACCACAGGAAAUAAUAAAUGUCUGAGGCAAUGGAUAUGGCAGUUACCCCAGUCUGGUCAUUGUGUGUUGUAUACGUGUAUCAAAGCAUCACACAGUGAUAAAUGCGUACAGUUAUUAUGUGUCAAUUAAAAAUAAAAAUUAAAAUAAAUU
rnacentral:lncRNA from 1 species